rnacentral:rRNA from 1 species
AACGAACGCUGGCGGCAUGCCUAACACAUGCAAGUCGAACGACGCCUUGGACUCUAGUCUCGCACCGGUUCGUAACCCGUUGGGACAUGCCCUUAGAUUCGGAAUAACUCGCGGGAAGGCUACCUAAUACCGGAUAAUAUAUCCGGACCAAAGAUUGAUCGCCAUUGGAUGGGCCGACGUGGGAGUACCUAGUUGGUAGGGUAAAAGCGUUCGACGGCGAGGAGCGCUAGCGGGUCUGUGAGGCUGAUCAGCCACACUGGGACGGAGACACGGCCAAGACUCCUACGGGAGGCAGCAGUGGGGAAUAUUGGACACUGGGCGAAAGGCUGAACGAGCAAUGCUGCGUGAGUGCUGAAGGCAUGAGGGAUGCAACGCGCUUUUACCCGGGAUGAUACUGGCGGUACCGGGAGAAUAAGCUCCGGCUAACUCCGUG